rnacentral:rRNA from 1 species
UACAGAGGGGGCAAGCGUUAUUCGGAAUUAUUGGGCGUAAAGGGCGCGUAGGCGGCCUGACAAGUGGAAGGUGAAAUCCCUCGGCUUAACCGAGGAACUGCCUUCCAAACUGUUUGGCUUGAGCCCGGGAGAGGCGAGUGGAAUUCCCAGUGUAGCGGUGAAAUGCGUAGAUAUUGGGAGGAACACCAGUGGCGAAGGCGGCUCGCUGGACCGGUCCUGACGCUCAGGCGCGAAAGCGUGGGGAGCGAUCCGG